rnacentral:rRNA from 1 species
CGCGGCCUAUCAGCUUGUUGGUGAGGUAACGGCUCACCAAGGCAAUGACGGGUAGCUGGUCUGAGAGGACGAUCAGCCACACUGGAACUGAGAUACGGUCCAGACUCCUACGGGAGGCAGCAGGAGGGAAUCUUGCGCAAUGGGCGAAAGCCUGACGCAGCGACGCCGCGUGGGGGAUGAAUGCCUUAGGGUUGUAAACCCCUUUCACGAGGGAAGAAACUGACGGUACCUCGAGAAGAAGCCCCGGCCAACUACGUGCCAGCAGCCGCGGUAACACGUAGGGGGCAAGCGUUGUCCGGAUUUAUUGGGCGCAAAGAGCUCGUAGGCGGUUGCGUAAGUCGGAUGUGAAAACUCAGGGCUCAACCCGGAGACGCCAUCCGAUACUGCGCUGACUAGAGUCCGGUAGAGGAGCAUGGAAUUCCUGGUGUAGCGGUGAAAUGCGCAGAUAUCAGGAGGAACACCAGUGGCGAAGGCGGUGCUCUGGGCCGGUACUGACGCUGAGGAGCGUAAGCGUGGGUAGCGAACAGGAUUAGAUACCCUGGUAGUCCACGCCGUAAACGUUGGGCACUAAGUGUGGGGCCUCCUUAACGGGUUCCGUGCCGUAGCUAACGCAUUAAGUGCCCCGCCUGGGGAGUACGG